AACGAACGCUGGCGGCAGGCUUAACACAUGCAAGUCGAGCGAGCGGCGGACGGGUGAGUAAUGUAUGGGGACCGCCCGCUAGUGUGGGAUUAAUCCUGGAAACGGUGGCCAAUACCGCAUACUGUCUGGUUACCCAUCUGGGAUUUGCUUGUAGGUAAGGUAAUGGCUUACCUGGGCGACGAUCCCUAGCUGGUGUGGGAGGAUGGUCAGCGACACUGGAACUGGGACACGGCCCAGACGCCUACGGAGGCAGCAGUGGGGAAUAUUGCGCAGUGGGCGCAAGCCUGAUACAGCCAUGCCGCGUGUAUGGAGGAGGCCCUAGGGGUGUAAAGUACUUUCAGUCGGGAGGCGUUAGCGACAGAAGAAGCACCGGCUAACUCCGUGCCAGCAGCCGCGGUAAUUC
rnacentral:rRNA from 1 species